rnacentral:rRNA from 1 species
ACGCACGCUGGCGGCGCGCUUAACACAUGCAAGUCGAACGGAAAGGCCUGCUUUCCCUUGUGGAUUGCGGGUACUCGAGUGGCGAACGGGUGAGUAACACGUGAGUGAUCUGCCCCCAACUUGGGUAUAAGCCUGGGAAACUGGGUCUAAUUCCCGAUAGGACUGCAGGGUGGUGCCUGUGGUGGAAAACGAUUUUCUAGUGGUUGGGGAUGAGCUCGCGGCCUAUCAGCUUGUUGGUGGGGUAAUGGCCUACCAAGGCGGCGACGGGUAGCCGGCCUGAGAGGGUGGACGGCCACAUUGGGACUGAGAUACGGCCCAGACUCCUACGGGAGGCAGCAGUGGGGAAUAUUGCACAAUGGGCGGAAGCCUGAUGCAGCGACGCCGCGUGGGGGAUGACGGCCUUCGGGUUGUAAACUCCUUUCGACCGCGAGGAAGCCACCUGGUUGGAAGGGUGGUGACGGUAGUGGUAGAAGAAGCACCGGCUAACUACGUG